AUUGAACGCUGGCGGCAUGCCUUACACAUGCAAGUCGAACGGUAACGCGGGGCAACCUGGCGACGAGUGGCGAACGGGUGAGUAAUGCAUCGGAACGUGCCCAGUAGUGGGGGAUAGCUCGGCGAAAGCCGGAUUAAUACCGCAUACGACCUACGGGUGAAAGCGGGGGACCGUAAGGCCUCGCGCUAUUGGAGCGGCCGAUGUCAGAUUAGGUUGUUGGUGGGGUAAAGGCCUACCAAGCCGACGAUCUGUAGCUGGUCUGAGAGGACGACCAGCCACACUGGGACUGAGACACGGCCCAGACUCCUACGGGUGGCUG
rnacentral:rRNA from 1 species